rnacentral:rRNA from 1 species
UUGGACAUGGGCGAAGCCUGAUCCAGCCAUGCCGCGUGUGUGAAGAAGGUCUUCGGAUUGUAAAGCACUUUAAGUUGGGAGGAAGGGCAGUUACCUAAUACGUAUCUGUUUUGACGUUACCGACAGAAUAAGCACCGGCUAACUCUGUG